CCCUUAGAUGUUCUGGGCGGCCCGCGCACUACAAUGGCGUGUGCAGCGAGUGCCGAAGUAGAGUUUUCCGAGGUAUUCUUGCAAUGCUCGUUUUGAUGGGGAUAGACCCUUGCAACUGUUGGUUUUGAACGAGGAAUUCCUUGUGAGCAUGGUUUAUCAUCCGACGCUGAAUGCGUCCCUGCCCUUUGUACACACCGCCCGUCGCUCCUACCGAUGAGUCGUCCGGUGAAGUUCGUAGACCUCGUGAUCGCGGAUCACUGGGGGAAGCAAAAUGAACCUCGCGGUUUAGAGGAAGGAGAAGUCGUAACA
rnacentral:rRNA from 1 species